AAUCAACGCUGGCGGCGUGCCUCAGACAUGCAAGUCGAACGAUUAAAGCUCUCUUCGGAGAGUGUAUAGAGUGGCGCACGGGUGAGUAACACGUAAGUAAUCUACCCUCGAGUGGGGAAUAACGUCCGGAAACGGACGCUAAUACCGCAUAAUGCAGCGGCACCGCAAGGUGACAGUUGUUAAAGGAGAAAUUCGCUUGAGGAGGAGCUUGCGGCAGAUUAGCUUGUUGGUAAGGUAACGGCUUACCAAGGCUACGAUCUGUAACCGGUCUUAGAGGACGGUCGGUCACACUGACACUGAAUAACGGGUCAGACUCCUACGGGAGGCAGCAGUCGGGAAUUUUGGGCAAUGGGCGAAAGCCUGACCCAGCAACGCCGCGUGAAGGAUGAAGUAUUUCGGUAUGUAAACUUCGAAAGAAUAGGAAGAAUAAAUGACGGUACUAUUUAUAAGGUCCGGCUAACUACGUGCCAGCAGCGCGGU
rnacentral:rRNA from 1 species